rnacentral:rRNA from 1 species
UACGGAGGGUGCCAGCGUUACCCGGAUUUACUGGGCGUAAAGGGCGUGUAGGCGGUUUUCUAAGUCGGGGGCUAAAGACCAGGGCUGAACCCUGGGUUUGCCUUGGAUACUGGAAAGCUCGACGGCUGGAGGGGGCAGCGGAAUUUCCGGAGUAGCGGUGAAAUGCGCAGAUACCGGAAGGAACGCCAAUAGCGAAGGCAGCUGCCUGGACAGUACGUGACGCUGAGGCGCGAAAGCGUGGGGAGCAAACCGG